UCUUCAGUCAAAAGGAAUCAUUAUUAAAGCGAAAAAAUGAGAAACGAAAUGAAAUCAAAAUCACAUGUGGGUAGACACCGUACCAGAGCAUCUCAUCUCAUCCUUAAAAGCAUAAACGAAGAAAGGCUUUGGCAAAGUUAUGGGUGCUGCUGCUACUUUAUUAUAUUUGACCGUAGAAAAAAGGAAUUCAAGAACCAGCCAAAGCAGCACCACCAGCAACAGGCAACAGCAGUGGCGCCCUUGUCAAAAUGUCAAUUGCCUAAUCAUGUUGCUGGGGAAAACUAUUUUCGGUUUUUUUUCACUUGGUAUGGUAAUGCCCACAAGAUCUCACCAUAUACCAUCCAUUGUUUAACCAAUCAUGCAAGCUACCAUACAGUGAGCAAAAAGGGUCUAAACUCUAAAGCGCAAAGGCCCAGAUUAAUUAAUUGCGUGGUCCGAGUUGGUUUGGUUAAGCAUUUUAAAACAGGAAGGAGACAACGUUGGGCCUCCAGUUAUGGCGAGUGCCACUUGCUUGCACACCGAAUCCCCGUGUAUGGCUACAGCUUCUGAAGCGAGUUCAGGACAAUUGGGAUGGUUAAUUAUUAAAAUAUCAUAGGAGUUGAAAUUUGAAAGUGACCUCAUUUUCCUUUUCAGUUAUUGUUCCCAUUUUGCAAGUCAAAAUCCAUACCAAUUGCAUUUGCA